rnacentral:tRNA from 1 species
AUUUAUUUAAUAUAAAAAGUAUAUUUGACUUCCAAUCAAAAAGUCUAAUUCUAGAAUAAAUA